rnacentral:rRNA from 1 species
UACGGAGGGGGCUAGCGUUAAUCGGAAUUACUGGGCGUAAAGCGUGCGCAGGCGGUUAUGUAAGACUGGUGUGAAAUCCCCGGGCUUAACCUGGGAACUGCAUUUGUGACUGCAUAGCUAGAGUACGGUAGAGGGGGAUGGAAUUCCGCGUGUAGCAGUGAAAUGCGUAGAUAUGCGGAGGAACACCGAUGGCGAAGGCAAUCCCCUGGACCUGUACUGACGCUCAUGCACGAAAGCGUGGGGAGCAAACAGG